GAUGAACGCUGGCGGCGUGCCUAAUACAUGCAAGUCGAGCGAACAGACGAGGAGCUUGCUCCACUGACGUUAGCGGCGGACGGGUGAGUAACACGUGGAUAACCUACCUAUAAGACUGGGAUAACUUCGGGAAACCGGCGCUAAUACCGGAUAAUCUAUUGAACCGCAUGGUUCAAUAGUGAAAGACGGUUUUGCUGUCACUUCUAGAUGGAUCCGCGCCGCAUUAGCUAGUUGGUAAGGUAACGGCUUACCAAGGCAACGAUGCGUAGCCGACCUGCGAGAGGGAUCGGCCACAUGGGAAGUGAGACACGGUACAGACUCCUACGAGAGGCAGCAGUAGGGAAUCUGCCGCAAUGGGCGAAAGCCUGACGGAGCAACGCGGCGUGAGAGAUGAAGGUCUUCGGAGCGUAAUACUCUGUUAUUAGGUAAGAACAAAUGUGUAAGUAACUAUGCACGGCUUGACGGUACCUAAUCAGAAAGCCACGGCUAACUACGUG
rnacentral:rRNA from 1 species